AGAAGGGCAUGGGAAUACCAGGAGAUCAGGGUCACUGGAGGCUGGCUACCUACCACAGGCUUCCACAAGAUUGAUAAUCCGAAAACUUAACUUGUAUUGUUGUUCCCUGCUCAAAGAGACCCAGAGCCUUCCCACGUACUGCAGACACAAUCUGAUUUUCUUAGCUCCAUCUCCCACUGGCUCUUGAGUGGAUGGACCAUCUGGGACUGACAGCCUGGUCUGCUCACAGACCUCACCAGUCCCACAGCGGAGGCCCAUGUUGAUACCUCCCCUCCCAUCCGCUGUUCUGUUGGUAAGGCCUGCCUCCGUGGGAAGGCCUGCCUCCCUGGGAAGCCUCUAUUCAAACUUCAACGCAUAGUUAGUGCAUCCCCAGCAUGUGCAGGGUCUGGCUGGAUGCUAGGAUAUGAUGGUGAUACCACCUUGUCUCAGGGAACUUUCCUUUUUUUUUUUAAAUUAUACUUUAGGUUCUGGGAUACAUGUGCAGAACGUGCAGUUUUGUCACACAGGCAUACACGUGCCAUUUGUGUAUGGCAUCAUUGUUUGUGUACCCAUCAACCCGUCAUCUACAUUAGGUAUUUCUCCUAAUGCUAUCC
rnacentral:lncRNA from 10 species